GGAGGAGUGCUCUAAAGUUGUGUGUGGAGUUCAGGGGGCAAUUUUUCAGUGUUGGUUCUCUCUUUUCACCAUGUGUGUUCUGGAUAUUGGACUCGGGUUAACAGGCUUCUAAGUAUCUACCUUCUGAGACAUCUAUCUGGCCCAUGAAAAAAUUAUUUGAAUUUUGAUCCUAGAAAGUCAGUUAGGGGGUUCUAUUGGUUUUGAGAUUAUUUAGAAUUGGGCAAGCCAGUACUUCUAGGACCCCCCAAAUAGACCUCAAUUUAUGAGAAAAAGACAAAAUAAGUGUAUUGUCUUUAAUUCAAUUAUUCUAACCUGUUGAUAACACCACGUGGGCCUCC
rnacentral:lncRNA from 1 species